rnacentral:rRNA from 1 species
UACGAAGGGUGCAAGCGUUAAUCGGAAUUACUGGGCGUAAAGGGUGCGUAGGCGGUUCGUUAAGUCUGUCGUGAAAUCCCCGGGCUCAACCUGGGAAUGGCGAUGGAUACUGGCGAGCUAGAGUGUGUCAGAGGAUGGUGGAAUUCCCGGUGUAGCGGUGAAAUGCGUAGAGAUCGGGAGGAACAUCAGUGGCGAAGGCGGCCAUCUGGGAAGACACUGACGCUGAAGCACGAAAGCGUGGGGAGCAAACAGG